rnacentral:sRNA from 1 species
CGGGUCAUGUCGUCGGCGGCACUACAUGCCAACUGCACCGGCUCUGGAAAACACCUUCGGGUGCCACCCCGUGCAGCCGCCCUGCUGGCGUCAGAGCAGCGACGAUGACGCACCCG